UGAUCAAUUGUGAUAGGCUUGGCUCUUUUCAACAACAGAUGCCCUGUCCAGGGCCUGAACAGCCAUGUUUGGAAAACAGAUAAACUCACUCUGAACCACUUAAAGUUGAAAGGGGGCAGGACUUACCAGUCAUGACUUAAGGUGAAAAAGAGCAAACUACCUAAGCUUCAUCUUGUAAGAGCUCAUCCAGACAUCAACACCACAUUUAUGUCUCAAAAGGAAUUUGAAACUUUUUCAGUCUGCAUCAAGGCCAAAGAACCAAGUGGAAAAUCUGACUUCCCAAACCUGAUGCCAAUCAUCUUGUACCCUGAAGUAUAAGCUUUGCUUGGCCAUAGGGGCUAAAGGCAUAGAAGAGAGCCAAGGAGCUGAACAACUGACCCUUUUCAUGUAAAGCUCUUGACCCAUAUUCCUCAGAGCUGGCAGUAGAAUUUAUUGAGUGCUGACAGGGUGCUCUGCACUGUACUGAAUUCAGGCAAAGAUAGAAGCCCUAGUCAGAAGACCAGGCAUGAAAACAUUCAAAAUAAAAUGCUUUGCUUU